rnacentral:rRNA from 1 species
UACAGAGGGCGCGAGCGUUGUCCGGAAUCACUGGGCGUAAAGGGCGCGUAGGUGGCCACUAUAAGGCUGCGGUGAAAGUUCGGGGCUCAACCCCGAAUCUGCCGCGGCGACUGUAGGGCUUGGGCACCGUAGAGGCAGAUGGAAUUCCGGGUGUAGCGGUGGAAUGCGUAGAGAUCCGGAAGAACACCAGUGGCGAAGGCGGCAUCCUGGACCGGUAUUGACGCUGAGGCGCGAAAGCUAGGGGAGCAAACGGG